rnacentral:rRNA from 1 species
ACAAGCAGCGGUAGCGUGUGGUUAAUUCGAGGCUACACGAAGAACCUUACAGGGUUUGACAUGCAAGUGGUAGGAAUCCGAAAGGUCGACCGACCCUUCGGGGAGCUUGCACAGGUGCUGCAUGGCUGUCGUCAGCUCGUGUCGUGAGAUGUUCGGUUAAGUCCGCUAACGAGCCGCAACCCUCGUCGUGUGUUAUACGUGUCACACGAUACUGCCGGUAUCAAGCCGGAGGAAGGUGGGAUGAUGUCAAGUCAGCAUGGCCUUUAUAUCCUGGGCUACACACACGCUACAAUGGCAGAUACAAUAGGUUGCGAAACCGCGAGGUAGAGCCAAUCCUCAAAGUCUGUCUCAGUUCAGAUUGUAGGCUGCAACUCGCCUGCAUGAAGUUGGAGUUGCUAGUAAACGCAGGUCAGCUAUACUGCGUUGAAUACGUUCCCGGGUUU